rnacentral:rRNA from 1 species
CAGUAGCCGCGGUAAUACGUAGGGUGCGAGCGUUAAUCGGAAUUACUGGGCGUAAAGCGUGCGCAGGCGGUUCGUUAAGACAGAUGUGAAAUCCCCGGGCUUAACCUGGGAACUGCAUUUGUGACUGGCGAGCUAGAGUAUGGCAGAGGGGGGUAGAAUUCCACGUGUAGCAGUGAAAUGCGUAGAGAUGUGGAGGAAUACCGAUGGUGAAGGCAGCCCCCUGGGCCAAUACUGACGCUCAUGCACGAAAGCGUGGGGAGCAAACAGGAUUAGAUACCCGCGUAGUCCCUGUCUCUUAUAA